rnacentral:rRNA from 1 species
GUGGGGAAUAUUGGACAAUGGGCGAAAGCCUGAUCCAGCCAUGCCGUGUGUGUGAAGAAGGUCUUCGGAUUGUAAAGCACUUUAAGUUGGGAGGAAGGGCAGUAAGUUAAUACCUUGCUGUUUUGACGUUACCGACAGAAUAAGCACCGGCUAACUUCGUGCCAGCAGCCGCGGUAAUACGAAGGGUGCAAGCGUUAAUCGGAAUUACUGGGCGUAAAGCGCGCGUAGGUGGUUUUGUAAGUUGGAGGUGAAAUCCCCGGGCUCAACCUGGGAACUGCCUCCAAAACUGCAUGACUAGAGUACGGUAGAGGGUAGUGGAAUUUCCUGUGUAGCGGUGAAAUGCGUAGAUAUAGGAAGGAACACCAGUGGCGAAGGCGACUACCUGGACUGAUACUGACACUGAGGUGCGAAAGCGUGGGGAGCAAACAGGAUUAGAUACCCCGGUAGUCC